CAUGGUAUGAAUUAAAACUCAGAAAGUUUAAGUUAUGGGGAUAUAUUGCUUAUGGCCUGAUAAAGCUUGCCUGGAGAGAAGAAUACAAAGCUACUCACAGCCAUAGAGGUCAGGAAAUGGUGGUACACACCUUUAACCCUGGCAACCAUGCUAGUUAGCCAUAGAUGCUGGGCGGUGGUGGUGCAUGCCUUUCAUCCCAGCACUAGAGAGGUAUAUGAGACAGGAGCAGGGUUCAGAGCGUGUAGUAGUCUCCAGCAACAUUGAGGACAGUAUCACUCUUCCAGCCUUGGUAGAGAUGUCUCAUUUGUCCAGUGGUCUUCAGAUUCCUUAGCUGGAUGCCUUCAUUCUCCUGAAAAGACAAAAACAAAACCAUACCCCAACCCUAAUUUUGGGACGGUUCCCUUAUGGCAAGUAAUGUCUGAAAAAACGAAAAACAUUUAUUAGAUUUAAAGUUAGUUUAGAUUAAAUGACCAUGCUAUUUGAUUAAUUAUUACGUCUUCUCAUCAAGGGAUGCCUUUUGUUCAAACAUAAUCUUUAUGUAUUUUAAUGGUAUCUGUCAUCUUCCAAACCCCCUUUUUCUCAAACCCCCUUUCCCAACAAAGCACACAUCCUGGUUCCCAUCCUGAGGACAGCACAUCUUUAAAAUAUACCAGCUGAUUUAAUUCCAUAGGUUUUUUCCUGUUAUCUAAUUUCUCUCCACUGCUGUCAAUUCUUUCUCAUUUACAUUCAGAAAAUUCAAAGUUAAUAAAGCAUUUUGCAAUCUAA